GCAUGGGUUAGGGUUAGGGUUAGGGUUGGAGCUAGGGUUAGGGUUAGGGUUAGGGUUGGAGUUAGGGUUAGUGUUGGAGCUAGGGUUAGGGUUGGGCUUGGAGCUAGGAUUUUUCUGAGUGCACUGAACCAACUCCCGAGUCUCUAGGACAUUCCUAAAAAAAUUUGAUUUUUUCCCAUAGGAAUGCAUGGGUUAGGGUUAGGGUUAGGGUUGGAGCUAGGGUUAGGGUUAGGGUUGCAGUUAGGGUUAGUGUUGGAGCUAGGGUUAGGGUUGGGCUUGGAGCUAGGAUUUUUCUGAGUGCACUGAACCAACUCCCGAGUCUCUAGGACAUUCCUAAAAAAAUUUGAUUUUUUCCCAUAGGAAUGCAUGGGUUAGGGUUAUGGUUAGGGUUAAGGUUGGAGCUAGGGUUAGGGUUAGGGUUAGGGUUGGAGUUAGGGUUAGUGUUGGAGCUAGGGUUAGGGUUGGGCUUGGAGCUAGGAUUUUUCUGAGUGCACUGAACCAACUCCCGAGUCUCUAGGACGUUCCUAAAAAAAUUUGAUUUUUUCCCAUAGGAAUGCAUGGGUUAGGGUUAGGGUUAGGGUUGGAGCUAGGGUUAGGGUUAGGGUUAGGGUUGGAGUUAGGGUUAGUGUUGGAGCUAGGGUUAGGGUUGGGCUUGGAGCUAGGAUUUUUCUGAGUGCACUGAACCAACUCCCGAGUCUCUAGGACAUUCCUAAAAAAAAAUUGAGUUUUUCCCAUAGGAAUGCAUGGGUUAGGGUUAGGGUUAGGGUUGGAGCUAGGGUUAGGGUUAGGGUUAGGGUUGGAGUUAGGGUUAGUGUUGGAGCUAGGGUUAGGGUUGGGCUUGGAGCUAGGAUUUUUCUGAGUGCACUGAACCAACUCCCGAGUCUCUAGGACAUUCCUAAAAAAAUUUGAUUUUUUCCCAUAGGAAUGCAUGGGUUAGGGUUAUGGUUAGGGUUAGGGUUGGAGCUAGGGUUAGGGUUAGGGUUAGGGUUGGAGUUAGGGUUAGUGUUGGAGCUAGGGUUAGGGUUGGGCUUGGAGCUAGGAUUUUUCUGAGUGCACUGAACCAACUCCCGAGUCUCUAGGACAUUCCUAAAAAAAUUUGAUUUUUUCCCAUAGGAAUGCAUGGGUUAGGGUUAGGGUUAGGGUUGGAGCUAGGGUUAGGGUUAGGGUUGGAGUUAGGGUUAGUGUUGGAGCUAGGGUUAGGGUUGGGCUUGGAGCUAGGAUUUUUCUGAGUGCACUGAACCAACUCCCGAGUCUCUAGGACAUUCCUAAAAAAAUUUGAUUUUUUCCCAUAGGAAUGCAUGGGUUAGGGUUAUGGUUAGGGUUAGGGUUGGAGCUAGGGUUAGGGUUAGGGUUAGGGUUGGAGUUAGGGUUAGUGUUGGAGCUAGGGUUAGGGUUGGGCUUGGAGCUAGGAUUUUUCUGAGUGCACUGAACCAACUCCCGAGUCUCUAGGACAUUCCUAAAAAAAUUUGAUUUUUUCCCAUAGGAAUGCAUGGGUUAGGGUUAUGGUUAGGGUUAGGGUUGGAGCUAGGGUUAGGGUUAGGGUUAGGGUUGGAGUUAGGGUUAGUGUUGGAGCUAGGGUUAGGGUUGGGCUUGGAGCUAGGAUUUUUCUGAGUGCACUGAACCAACUCCCGAGUCUCUAGGACAUUCCUAAAAAAAUUUGAUUUUUUCCCAUAGGAAUGCAUGGGUUAGGGUUAGGGUUAGGGUUGGAGCUAGGGUUAGGGUUAGGGUUGCAGUUAGGGUUAGUGUUGGAGCUAGGGUUAGGGUUGGGCUUGGAGCUAGGAUUUUUCUGAGUGCACUGAACCAACUCCCGAGUCUCUAGGACAUUCCUAAAAAAAUUUGAUUUUUUCCCAUAGGAAUGCAUGGGUUAGGGUUAUGGUUAGGGUUAGGGUUGGAGCUAGGGUUAGGGUUAGGGUUAGGGUUGGAGUUAGAGUUAGUGUUGGAGCUAGGGUUAGGGUUGGGCUUGGAGCUAGGAUUUUUCUGAGUGCACUGAACCAACUCCCGAGUCUCUAGGACAUUCCUAAAAAAAUUUGAUUUUUUCCCAUAGGAAUGCAUGGGUUAGGGUUAUGGUUAGGGUUAGGGUUGGAGCUAGGGUUAGGGUUAGGGUUAGGGUUGGAGUUAGGGUUAGUGUUGGAGCUAGGGUUAGGGUUGGGCUUGGAGCUAGGAUUUUUCUGAGUGCACUGAACCAACUCCCGAGUCUCUAGGACGUUCCUAAAAAAAUUUGAUUUUUUCCCAUAGGAAUGCAUGGGUUAGGGUUAGGGUUAGGGUUGGAGCUAGGGUUAGGGUUAGGGUUAGGGUUGGAGUUAGGGUUAGUGUUGGAGCUAGGGUUAGGGUUGGGCUUGGAGCUAGGAUUUUUCUGAGUGCACUGAACCAACUCCCGAGUCUCUAGGACAUUCCUAAAAAAAUUUGAUUUUUUCCCAUAGGAAUGCAUGGGUUAGGGUUAUGGUUAGGGUUAGGGUUGGAGCUAGGGUUAGGGUUAGGGUUAGGGUUGGAGUUAGGGUUAGUGUUGGAGCUAGGGUUAGGGUUGGGCUUGGAGCUAGGAUUUUUCUGAGUGCACUGAACCAACUCCCGAGUCUCUAGGACAUUCCUAAAAAAAUUUGAUUUUUUUCCCAUAGGAAUGCAUGGGUUAGGGUUAUGGUUAGGGUUAGGGUUGGAGCUAGGGUUAGGGUUAGGGUUAGGGUUGGAGUUAGGGUUAGUGUUGGAGCUAGGGUUAGGGUUGGGCUUGGAGCUAGGAUUUUUCUGAGUGCACUGAACCAACUCCCGAGUCUCUAGGACAUUCCUAAAAAAAUUUGAUUUUUUCCCAUAGGAAUG